rnacentral:ncRNA from 1 species
AAUAUCUACCGCGGGAGCUCGGGCGGAGCCGGGCUGAGAGGGCGGGACCACGCGGAGGGCCGGAGAAGGCCCUCCCACGCGCCGCCGACCGCAUGAACCUGUCCGGGUAAUGCCGGCGUAGGGAGCGCGUGAUGACGUCCG